AGUGAACGCUGGCGGUAGGCCUAACACAUGCCAGUCGACCGGCAGCACAGUAAGAGCUUGCUCUUACGGGUGGCGAGUGGCGGACGGGUGAGGAAUACAUCGGAAUCUACUUUUUCGUGGGGGAUAACGUAGGGAAACUUACGCUAAUACCGCAUACGACCUACGGGUGAAAGCAGGGGAUCUUCGGACCUUGCGCGAUUGAAUGAGCCGAUGUCGGAUUAGCUAGUUGGCGGGGUAAAGGCCCACCAAGGCGACGAUCCGUAGCUGGUCUGAGAGGAUGAUCAGCCACACUGGAACUGAGACGCGGUCCAGACUCCUACGGGAGGCAGCAGUGGGGAAUAUUGGACAAUGGGCGCAAGCCUGAUCCAGCCAUACCGCGUGGGUGAAGAAGGCCUUCGGGUUGUAAAGCCCUUUUGUUGGGAAAGAAAAGCAGCAGGUUAAUACCCCGCUGUUCUGACGGUACCCAAAGAAUAAGCACCGGCUAACUUCGUG
rnacentral:rRNA from 1 species